AACGCACAUUGCGCUUCCUGGCAUUCCGGGGAGCAUGCCUGUUUCAGAAUCAUUAAAACCUCUCACCUACUAUUGUGUUUUAUGCCAAUAGCUCGGUGGAUUUUGAAUGCUUUCGAAAUUUAUUUUGAAUCAUUUAAAUUUUAUCGUGUGCAGCCAUUAUUUUCACUCAUUUCAAAAUGUUUGGUGAAUGGUUCCCAAGUGCAAUAAAGACUAAAAAUCUCUUAUACUCUUGAGUGCCGCUAAAUUCCUGGACAAUUAAUUUUGGACUGAGAUUAAUGAAGUAAUUUUUGUAUCUCAAUUAAUUAUACGAUUUGUUUAUUCUGCGAAAGCAAAAUAAAUAAUUCGAAACUUUGAUCUGAAAUCAAGCAAGAAAACCCGCUGAACUUAA
rnacentral:misc_RNA from 1 species